CAAAGGAAAAGUCUGCCAGAGGCGAGCAAGACUUUUUUUGCAUUGGCCAAAAUAGAUCUGAUGGAGGGAAGGAAAUCUCAUUGCAAUGGAGGAAGAUAAGGUACAAGAGACCUGCCUGUCACCUCUCCUGUCUGUGAAAUAUGAUUUAUGAUGAAGAUAAACGAUUACAAUAGCAUUUGA